CCCUUUUUCUGAAACAAUAACAUAACAUCACAACAUAGAAAAACACACGAUAAAAUAUCAAUUGGCAGACUUAACUCAAUCAAAAAACGUAAAUUAAUACACAAUGAACGAAUAAAUUUGAUCUGAAUGCAAAUGCACAGUUAAUAAAAUAUAAGAUACAAACACUCAAGGCCAAAAAGCAAACAAACAAGUUCAAACAAAGCCAUGGCAAGACACCAC
rnacentral:lncRNA from 1 species